AAGAAUGAAUUUCAAUAUUUAAAUGAAUUGGAUUCUGCUAUGUGAAGUGAAUCAUUUUUUUUUAAAUCGUAAUUAUUUUUCUUUACUAUCUAUUUUGAAAGUAUCAGGGACUUCAUAAAGAAGUGACUAAGUCUAGGUAGUAGAAAUUUUAGAACAGGGGACAGACACCGAUAUUUUUAAAAGCUCCUAUAGUAAUUCGUAUUCUUUAACUACUCAGGAUGUAUAUGAUUGCUUCUUUGUGUGAUUUCCUAUUUAUUUUAACAUACAUAUUAUGUUCAUAUAUGUUUUUAAAUAAAUAUGUAUGUCAACGUUUUUGCUAUUUAUAAGAAAUUAAAGGUUAUAAAUGAAAAACAAAAUGAAAGAAAGGAACGUCAACACUUAACAUAACAUAAAAUAUUUAAUUUUGUGACUCGAAUAACAUAAAUGUUGAACUGGAUUUUUAGCGGUAAGUAUACAAUAAAUAGGUAUUCAAAUGUUAUCCAAUUCGAAAGAUACAUACAUGUAUCGAAAACCAUUUCAAGAAGACUAAUGAAGAAAAGGUGUAGUCGUUAUUUGUAUUUAAAUAAAAUAACUUGCGUAUUUUAAUUAUAUUUCUUAUUGAUUUCAUCCCAUACACUGCCACUCCAGUUUUUGUAUAAACAUGAACAUAUAUGUAAAUAUAUAGAUAGAUGUCUACAUCUAUGCAUAUCAUACUGUAUCCCUGCUUUUCGUUGAUACUUUUCAACUUCCUCAGGUUCAAAAUGUAUUUUAAGUUUUAUGGGCUUUGCUUCAAUUAAAUUUUUCAACUUUACAAUUAGCCGAAAAAGUAGUUUGAAAAAACUAUGAAAACUUAGACAGUACGUUUUGAUGACUUGAAAUAAGUUAUGGAUCCCCAAAAUAAAACACAUUGUAACCAGAGACACAAAAUAUUUUGUAUGUACAUACAUUUGUUUUAAAUUACAAUUAGCGUAUGUAUUAAGCAAACAUUAAUUGGAAAAAAGUAUUUUGACAUAAUGCACAAACAUACAUAUAUUAUUUAUUCUAAUUUUAUUUGGCCAGUUAAUGUUGUAAGAUCUCAGAAAUGUCUACUGUCGAGUUCACGUUUCGCUUCACUAAUUACUUUUGAAGACAUGGAUCACACUAGUUUGACAUUUUCAACAUACAUACAUCAUAAUUUUCGAGGAUUUCUCCGAUUUGUGUAUCCGAACAGUUACGAUAUUACAAAAUUCGUACAUUUGGGACAGACCUGACACUAUUCCUCUCCGAUGAGUUACCUCAAUAGGGAUGUAUCUAUAUAUUUCAUUCCCCAGUUUUGUCAAUCUGACUGAGAAAAUUCUAAGACAUUUUGGAAAUAUAAACUGAUCAAUAAUUCGUUUCGUCAAAUUUUGGUUUAAUCUAUUAAUUUUAAAAAUAUUCUCUAUUUAAUAUUACCUAUUAAAUUUAAUUUGGAAAAACGACGGGAAUAAAUCAAGAUUUAAAGUAAAGUAUUUGGGGAUAUACUUGAACAGACUAUAAAGUGUCUCGAGAAACCGUAAAUAAGCAACACAAAAUCCACACAAAAUUUUCCACGUUCAAAGCGCCCACCCAAAACAAGUUAGAUAUGAGGAUCGUUCAAUAAUAAAAACGACAAUCAAAAACGAGUACUCCGUGGUAGUGACACGGUAAUGUCUCUGAGAUGCACAUAGUCAAAUCGAUAAAUAAUAACCAAAAUUUGCAAAUUAAAAUAAAACACUCCCUUUAAUCACGUACCGAAACUUUGUUAACACUCUUCUAUUAGCUUCACUUGUACGUAUGAUUUUAAAAGACUCCUAUGGACUCAAUUUUAUGUAUUUAAAAUGUAUGAACAUAUUCAAAGCCGAUGAGAAUACAAUAACUUAAUACUGUUAUUAACAAUUAAUCGAGAACCAAACAGUGAAUAAUAAAUAUAUCAAGUUAAGAAUACAUGACAAUUUCAUUCUUAAGUUAUGCCUGAAUUUUUAUUUUUUUCUGACAACAAUUUUUGUUCACAUUAUUUUGUCGGUACACAUUUAAGAAAAAAAAAAAAAGUAUGUAUUAGUUUAAAAACUAAAAUUAAAAUAAUUUGAACAAUUUUCUUACUUUUGAGUAAGAAAAGUCAUACUUUACCUUCAUGUAGUGAAAACUAUUUAAUGAGCACACAAAGAAAAUACAGUAGACUUACAGUAACUACAAUUAAGCUAAUGAAAGUAAUAUAAAAUCUUUAAGAAAAACCUCGUCAAUAUUCUUGUUUGGUUAAAAAUGUUAAGUUUUUGGUAAGAUUUUUAAUCUGGAAUUAUAGUCUUAAGCUUUCUUUAAUAGAUUCACCGAAAUACUACAUUUAAUACCAACGCAAAGUAAUUUUAGCAAUGGAUAAUCGCGACAAUUGUGUGAAAUUUAAAAACAUUCAAAAAUUAUGUUCAAAAUGACUUGUUUAGAAGAAGAGAAACUAACAUGAAUGGCUAAACCUUGAAGUUUAAUGGCAUCAAAAGUUCUGUAGCGAGAUUUUGGUUCACAAUUCACUUCCAGAACGUUUCUUCGCAUCUUGUAGGGGAAUGGCACUAAAUCACUAUCUCCAAAGAAGAAAACACGACAAGCCAAGACCCGGAGCAGAUUCAUUUUGCAUAAACAAAAAAACAUCUACCAUGUGCCUUUUAGGCGUAAAGUGUUGAAAAAUAUUGCUCGUCGCCCAGUGUGAGAAGCACACUUGUUAAAACGUAGACGUGACAACAAAGGUCUUAAAGGUUGAUUUCUUUGAUGGUCAAUUGUUCAAUUUUUGUAUUACAGGGAAUAGUGGGUAAAAGCCGCAUGUAACAUAGGACACAAUGCUUUCUAUGUAAAUAUGUCCCUUAGAGUUCAGUAGGAAGGAAAAGUAAAGUAUUGUUACUGCAAAAGAUUGGCCAAGGAAUAUUAUAGAAUUGGCUUUGCUUAUAAUUUCACAUAAAUCUUGCAUUAAGCAUAAGGGACAUGAUACUUCAAACAAAGAAAUCUUUACAACUGAAAUGUGCAUCUCAACUUCAGAAAACGUAUCAGUAUCUAGUACCUAUGCAGGUUUUCAAACUAAAAUUUAAUAAUAAAUAGGCUAAGUUCUUGCUUAUCUUUUUUAUUUAUCAUGGUAAAGACUAGCUCUCUUCCAUCGUGUAUUGUAUGUUUUUUCAUUGUUGAGUACUCUUUCGCUGUUAAUUUACUUACAAAAAUAUUUGCAACGAAUUACUUCAAUUGUUUCACAAAAAACCCUAACCGUACCGAUUGUCGAAUUGAUCAAGUGCAUGUUGAUCCUGACGAGGUGUUGUGAACAGUUUGAACUUAAAUGAAUUUACAAUUGCUAUAAGUAAAAAUGUAGAUUUGCAUAACAUAAUUUCUAUUUUAUUUUAUACAUUUUUUGUUUUGGAGUCAUUCUUCAAUUGAAUUUGGUGUUGGUUCAUUUGUAAUCACUAUAGUUGAAAUUUUUUUUUCAAAAUUGGUUAUCAAAUAACUUAAUAAAGCAAUAAUAUUUGUUUUUAAUUGCAAAUGAUUGUUGUGUUAGAUUUCAUUUUUAGAGUCUUAGUUGUGUUAAAUUUUUACACAGUGCGCGAACACUGAAGAAAGGACUUACAUAAACAUAUUUUGAAACUAUUGCUUUUAUGUGUUAAACAGUAGCGUUUUUAUAAACGUUCGCGUGAAUAUUUUUUUUCAAAAGCGAAUACAUUGGAUUCUCAGCAAUAAUGAUUUAAUCAAUAUGAAAAGUUUUUGAUCGUAAGAUUUUUUGUAUUCUUGCGGAGAAUAAAUAUUUCCAGAGUUUUUUUUGAGUAUAUCGAAGAAUUGGGGACAUACAUUAAAAUUAAAUACGUUGUUGGCCCAAAAUUACUUUUUGUUUGAAGAGUUUGACACUCUUACGUACAUACAUCAACCAACGGUUAAGAUGAUAGAAAACUCGUGCAUUUCAUGUAAAUUGGAGAAAUAUUCUCAAAUCGGAGAAAAUUUAUUCCAUCAAUGAAGGUGUUAGAAAUAAGACAUAUUUGUUGACUAUCAAACUAAAUAUAAAACGUGAUAAAAUCUGUCUGCACAAAACACAAGAAAAUAUAUACAUAUUUUCAUUUUUGAUAUAAAUUUUACAUGUGGAUGUGAAAAGAAAUGAUCUUACUCCAACCAAAGCCAAUUCAAGAUUGGUAUAAAAUCAAUUAAGACAAGCAAUAUUUAUUUGUUUUGACAGUUGGCUCCGAAAAGCCUUUACUUACAAUUUAUACAAUACAUUAUUUUCAACAAGUUUUCUUAACAUUCUCAAAACACGUAAUGCCCACUUCCAAAAUAUAAUUGACCUCCAUUCAAAGAUUUAAUAAAGAAGUUUGUUUCCUGAAAAGUGGAUUAAGAAUGAUUUUUUUAUAAAAAAUGUUUUUAGGAUGCUUAGUUUUCUUUAAGAAAAACUGAGAGAACAAACAAGAAGAAGAAUCAAUACUUAUAGUUAAAGUUAUGCUUUAUUACCAAAUGCUGCAAUUACAAGAGUCACGUUAAUUAAACACUGUUUCGGAAGAUUGUUUUUUUUUUCAAUGAGGGACAAGCCCUGAUACUUACUAUUGUAAUUGAAUUGAAAUUUAUUUUGAAUUUCAUUUUAGUCCGGCCUUUGACUGUCGCGAGUCAAAACUAUUUGGAACAUUCUAAAUAAUCAAACAUUUUAAAAAUAGCGGUGUUUAAUUUUAAACAUUGAUAUUUACCAACCAAAAAUUGGUAGUUGACACUUACAAUAGAAUUUGUUUUCAUUUUAAACUCUUCAUUCAUAUAUGAAACUUUCAAAGUAUGGACAUUAUUUACUUCGGAAGUCCUUUUUUUUAUCGAAUUUCACUGAAAUGUAAAAUUGACACACUAGAUGUUUCAAAGCAAUAACAUACUUUUUUAAGUUAAGAAUGUAAUAGUUGUAGGGCUCAAAUGAGGUUUAACGGACUUGAAAGUUAACUAAAUUAAAUAAAACGAUGCAAUCAGGGGUUCAAAAACCUAUAAUUACACACAUAUUUCCGUGUAACUACCUGCAUAUUUCUUCAGAGGAAACUAAAGCGGAGAGUAACAAAAGUAUUUGUAUACCCUUUACACUACUCUCCAAACUACGAUAAUUGCUUUUGAGAUACGAGAACGCCAGUCUUGUACGCUUGAGUUCAAAAAUAUUCAAUCGUGCUGGUGAUUUGUUGCUGUACUACAUUGGAAAUUCAUGAAAGAAAAUAAAGACGUGUCUCGGUAUUGCGAAAGGCGAUAAUAUUAAAAGCAGAUACUCUAGGAGCUUCGUCAUACACAGGUUGGAUAGAAUAUCUACUAAUGCUGCAAAUAAUUGUUCAGAUGAGCACCCUAUGCUUUCAAUGUUAAAAGUGCACGUCAGCGUACUUGAAAUAUGGUCAAAAACUUUAUAUGCCGCUUAUACAGUUUAAAAUAUACGAGUGGUAGAUCAAAUUGAAUUCAUAGGUGUACUUGAAUGAUUAUCUAAUACAGAAGUUUUACUGCAGCACCUGCACAUACAUAUGUCUACUUUCAAUGUUAAAAGAGAAUGUCAGCGUACUUGAAAUGUGAUCAAAAACUUUGUACCUGCUUUGAACACAAUUUAAUUAUUAUGGUGGUUAAAUGCUGAUUUAACUAAGAACCAUUUGAUAGUUUGUAUGAUGGUCAAAAACUAUAUCUGCUGCUUAUACAGUAUAAUAGUACGAGAUUCAUCGUUGAAGUUGCAUUGCAGCAUCUGAACAUUCAAUGUUAAAAGAGAAUGUCAGCGUACAUAAAAUGUGAUCAAGUGUAGUUACUAAUGCUGAUUAAACUAAGAAUAAUUUGAUGGUUUGUAUGGUACUUUUCUGGAAAAGGAAGAACAUCAGUCAAGAUAAUGAGAUUUCGAUGUUGCUGCUUCCAAGGUCCCAAAAAGUGCAUUUGCUAAAUUGUAUGCAUGGUCGUUUUAUAAAGAUGACAUGACGAUGAUUAAGUUUUCUUUCUGGCUGGAAUCUUUAUUGGAUGUUAAAGAUGACGAUGAUGAAGUUUUCUUUUUGGCUGGACCCAUUUUUGGAUGUUAAAGAAUUCAUAUUUAUUAUAUACAAAAGUGGAAAAAACAUUUCGCUAGUACAAAGGUUUCUUGCAAAGCAGAAGACCUCAAAAUUGAAAUGCGAACAAUAAAAUUAUAAAAUAAAAUAAAAUGUUUUUAUGUAGACGAAACUAAAAAACAUGUAUUUCAAAUAAAAAUGUAUUCUAAUCGUAAAUUGUGUUCUUUAUUACCUUAACUCUUAUUUUGAACCGGAAAAGUCCAUAUAAUUAAUUUAUGAAACUUUUUGGUUGAAAUUGAUUCAGAGUUUGCUCAGUAUAAUAUAUACAUAGGUACAUACAUAUAAAGUCUCAUUAGGUUAAUCAAAGAUCAUUUCUAUGAAACUAAACUUUGUCAUAUGAAAGUUUAAGUACUACAAAAAACUAAAAUGCGGGUCUUCUAAAAACUUGUCUGUCUUGAACAAAUUUAUAAUAAAUCUAGCAAUAUGUUACAGAUAUGAGAUUGCUUGUCUUGAUUCUUACAAAGCUCAAACAGUUGUCUUAGAAUAGUUUUUGUUCAUAUUAACCUUAAAAAAUAAUUCAAUCGGCAUUACAGUAAACACAAUCAUUUUCAAAGUCUAAUGAUUCAGUUUUGUAGCUCUUUUUAUUCUUUACAAAGUGUUAGAAGUUGUAUCUAGA